UACGUAGGUGGCAAGCGUUGUCCGGAUUUACUGGGCUUAAAGGGCGCGUAGGCGGGCAGUCAAGUCUGUGGUGAAAUCCUCCGGCUCAACCGGAGAAUAGCUGGAGAUACUGACUGUCUCGAGGGGGGUAGGGGCAUGUGGAACUUCCGGUGGAGCGGUGAAAUGCGUAGAUAUCGGAAGGAACUCCGGCGGCGAAAGCGAUGCACUGGCUGAUUUCUGACGCUGAGGUGCGAAAGCCAGGGGAGCAAACGGG
rnacentral:rRNA from 1 species